GGAUACGGCCAUACUGCGCAGAAAGCACCGCUUCCCAUCCGAACAGCGAAGUUAAGCUGCGCCAGGCGGUGUUAGUACUGGGGUGGGCGACCACCCGGGAAUCCACCGUGCCGUAUCCGUUU
rnacentral:rRNA from 2 species